UACGAAGGGUGCAAGCGUUAAUCGGAAUUACUGGGCGUAAAGCGUGCGUAGGCGGUUGGUUAAGUCUGUCGUGAAAGCCCUGGGCUCAACCUGGCAAUGGCGAUGGAAACUGGCCAGCUAGAGUGUGAUAGAGGAUGGCGGAAUUCCCGGUGUAGCGGUGAAAUGCGUAGAGAUCGGGAGGAACAUCCGUGGCGAAGGCGGCCAUCUGGAUCAACACUGACGCUGAGGCACGAAAGCGUGGGGAGCAAACAGG
rnacentral:rRNA from 1 species